AGUGAACGCUGGCGGUAGGCCUAACACAUGCAAGUCGAACGGCAGCACAGUAAGAGCUUGCUCUUACGGGUGGCGAGUGGCGGACGGGUGAGGAAUACAUCGGAAUCUACUUUUUCGUGGGGGAUAACGUAGGGAAACUUACGCUAAUACCGCAUACGACCUACGGGUGAAAGCAGGGGAUCUUCGGACCUUGCGCGAUUGAAUGAGCCGAUGUCGGAUUAGCUAGUUGGCGGGGUAAAGGCCCACCAAGGCGACGAUCCGUAGCUGGUCUGAGAGGAUGAUCAGCGACACUGGAACUGAGACACGGUCCAGACUCCUGCGGGAGGCAGCAGUGGGGAAUAUUAGACAAUGGGCGCAAGCCUGGUCCAGCCAUACCGCGUGGGUGAAGAAGGCCUUCGGGUUGUAAAGCCCUUUUGUUGGGAAAGAAAAGCAGCAGGUUAAUACCCCGCUGUUCUGACGGUACCCAAAGAAUAAGCACCGGCUAACUUCGUG
rnacentral:rRNA from 1 species